UAUAGCACUUGCAUUGGACUUCAGGUGAGGAUCUCUAUUUCUUCACUAUUAUUUCUUGGAAAAACAAAAUGCACACUGAGAACAAGAUAUCCGUUAUUGCUUCUUGAUCACUUAAAUGUGAUAUAUCUUACUUUUGCCUAUCGUAUUAUAUUUUGAUUCUUGAAUUGUUGAAAAUAUUGAUUUAUUCAGAAUCGUAUCUUCUUCCUCGAACUAUUCAAAUAAGUUCUCAUCUUGAUUCGAGACUUAUUUCAAUAAUUUAUUAUCCCGAUUCUUUGACUACUCAAUCGAGCUAUUUUAUCGAUUCUUUAUCAAUUGUGAAUCGUUUCACAUAUUGACUUGUAUACUAGUUGGAACCACUUCUAUUCUACAGUGGUUCAAUAAACGUAAAUCGUUCUUUUCCCGACUCUUGGACCAUUUAGGAUUAUUCUGUUUAUCCAUUAAAUCAUUCGUUUCGU
rnacentral:lncRNA from 1 species